rnacentral:rRNA from 1 species
CUACUAGCCUACGACGGGUACGGGUUGUGAGAGCAAGAGCCCGGAGAUGGAUUCUGAGACACGAAUCCAGGCCCUACGGGGUGCAGCAGGCGCGAAAACUUUACAAUGCUGGCAACAGCGAUAAGGGAACCUCGAGUGCCAGGUUACAAAUCUGGCUGUCGAGAUGCCUAAAAAGCAUUUCAUAGCAAGGGCCGGGCAAGACCGGUGCCAGCCGCCGCGGUAACACCGGCGGCUCGAGUGGUAACCGUUAUUAUUGGGUCUAAAGGGUCUGUAGCCGGCCGGAUAAGUCUCUUGAGAAAUCUGGCAGCUUAACUGUCAGGCUUUCAGGAGAUACUGUCUGGCUCGAGGCCGGGAGAGGUGAGAGGUACUUCAGGGGUAGGGGUGAAAUCUUGUAAUCCUUGAAGGACCACCAGUGGCGAAGGCGUCUCACCAGAACGGACCUGACGGCAAGGGACGAAAGCUAGGGGCACGAACCGGAUUAGAUACCCGGGUAGUCCUAGCCGUAAACGAUACUCGCUAGGUGUCGGCCACGGUGCGACCGUUGUCGGUGCCGUAGGGAAGCCGUGAAGCGAGC